ACAUGCCUACAACUUUGUGUUAAUGCACUGGAUUCCAUUAUCACUCCGCAGUUAAGCGCGCUCGGGCUAGAGUAGUAUUGGGAUGGGUGACCGCCCAGGAAGUCCUAGUAUUUUACAUGCA
rfam:Picea glauca, whole genome shotgun sequence.